rnacentral:rRNA from 1 species
UACGUAGGGGGCAAGCGUUGUCCGGAUUUAUUGGGCGUAAAGAGCGUGUAGGCGGCCAGGUAGGUCCGUUGUGAAAACUGGAGGCUUAACCUCCAGCUGUCGAUGGAAACCAUCUGGCUAGAGUCCGGAAGAGGAGAGUGGAAUUCCUGGUGUAGCGGUGAAAUGCGCAGAUAUCAGGAAGAACACCCGUGGCGAAGGCGGCUCUCUGGGACGGUACUGACGCUGAGAAGCGAAAGCGUGGGGAGCGAACAGG